GCCUGCAUAAGCCUAAUUGGUAAGGCAACGGUUUGCUAAACCGUGAGUAAUCAGACUUCUGGUGUGCUGGUUCGAGUCCAGCUGUAGGCG
rnacentral:tRNA from 1 species